rnacentral:rRNA from 1 species
AUGUCUAGCGACCCUGAAGAGAUCAAGGCUCGCGUCGUCGUCCACGGCGCCGACGCCGACGCCGACGCCGACGCCGAGUGGGCCCGCCCGGAGCUCGAGGCCUUCCACCUCCCCUCCACCUCCCAGCCCCCACACUUGUUUCACCCACCGCACCCGGAGCCAGAAGCAGCAGAGCAAUCCACGCCAGCACCGGCCGUCGCAGCAGCUACCACCAACAAUGCGUCAGGUUCCCCCCCUCCUCCUCGCUCGCCGCCUCCCGCGCCACUGGAGACGGAGCAGCUUCCGCCCAAUGCCAAGCCGCCUGCCGACGAGAAGCCGCCCCCUCCGGCGCCGGCGGCCGCUCUGCGCGACUUGUUCCGCUUCGCCGACGGCCUAGAUCGCGUCCUCAUGGCCGUGGGCACGCUCGGCGCUCUCGUCCAUGGCUGCUCCCUCCCCGUCUUCCUCCGCUUCUUCGCCGACCUCGUCGACUCCUUCGGCUCCCACGCCGACGACCCGGACACCAUGGUCCGCCUCGUCGUCAGGUACGCCUUCUACUUCCUCGUCGUCGGCGCCGCCAUCUGGGCGUCGUCCUGGGCCGAGAUUUCCUGCUGGAUGUGGACCGGCGAGCGGCAGUCCACUCGGAUGCGGAUCCGGUACCUCCAGGCGGCGCUCAAGCAGGACGUCUCCUUCUUCGACACCGACGUGCGCACCUCCGACGUCAUUUAUGCCAUCAACGCCGACGCUGUCAUCGUCCAGGACGCCAUCAGCGAGAAGCUCGGCAACCUCAUCCACUACAUGGCCACCUUCGUCGCCGGCUUCGUCGUCGGCUUCACCGCAGCGUGGCAGCUCGCGCUCGUCACGCUCGCCGUCGUGCCGCUCAUCGCCGUCAUCGGCGGCCUCACCGCCGCCACCAUGGGCAAGCUCUCCUCCAAGAGCCAGGACGCGCUGUCCAGCGCCAGCAACAUCGCGGAGCAGGCCCUGUCGCAGAUACGGAUCGUGCAGUCAUUCGUGGGUGAGCAGCGGGUGGCGCAGGCCUACUCGGCGGCGCUAGCCGUGGCGCAGAGCAUCGGCUACCGGAACGGCUUUGCCAAGGGCCUCGGGCUGGGCGGCACCUACUUCACCGUCUUCUGCUGCUACGCUCUGCUCCUCUGGUACGGCGGGCACCUCGUUCGCGGCCACCACACCAACGGCGGGCUGGCCAUCGCCACCAUGUUUUCCGUCAUGAUCGGCGGACUCGCUCUUGGGCAGUCGGCGCCGAGCAUGGCGGCGUUUGCCAAGGCGAGGGUUGCGGCCGCGAAGAUCUUCCGUAUCAUCGACCACACGCCAGGCGUCACCAAGGAAGGCGUGGAGCUGGAGUCGGUGACCGGGCGGCUGGAGCUGAGGAACGUGGAGUUCGCGUACCCGUCCCGGCCGGACACGCCGAUUCUGCGCCGCUUCUCUCUAAGCGUACCGGCAGGGAAGACGAUCGCUCUGGUUGGCAGCUCUGGCUCCGGGAAGAGUACGGUGGUGUCCCUGAUCGAGAGGUUCUACGACCCGAGUUCAGGGCAAAUCAUGCUUGACGGUGUUGAGCUCAAGGAUCUGAAGCUGCGGUGGCUGCGGUCGCAGAUCGGCCUGGUGAGCCAGGAGCCGGCGCUGUUCGCGACGAGCAUCAGGGAGAACCUGCUGCUUGGGAGGGAGGAGGCGAGCCAGGUGGAGAUGGAGGAGGCCGCCAGGGUCGCCAACGCCCACUCCUUCAUCAUCAAGCUCCCCGACGGCUACGACACGCAGGUGGGGGAGCGCGGCCUGCAGCUCUCCGGCGGCCAGAGGCAGCGGAUCGCCAUUGCCCGUGCGAUGCUCAAGAACCCGGCCAUCCUCCUCCUGGACGAGGCCACCAGCGCGCUGGACUCCGAGUCGGAGAAGCUCGUGCAGGAGGCGCUGGACCGCUUCAUGAUCGGCCGCACCACCCUCGUCAUCGCGCACAGGCUCUCCACCAUCCGCAAGGCCGACCUCGUCGCCGUCCUGCAGGCUGGCGCCGUCUCCGAGAUGGGCGCGCACGACGACCUCAUGGCCAGAGGGGACAGCGGCGCGUACGCCAAGCUCAUCCGCAUGCAGGAGCAGGCGCACGAGGCGGCCCUCGUCAGCGCCAGGAGGAGCAGCGCAAGGCCCUCCAGCGCCCGCAACUCCGUCAGCUCACCCAUCAUGAUGCGCAACUCCUCCUACGGCCGCUCGCCCUACUCCCGCCGCCUCUCCGACUUCUCCACCGCCGACUUCAGCCUGUCCGUCAUACAUGACCCGGCCGCCCACCGGAUGGGCAUGGGAAUGGAGAAGCUCGCGUUCCGUGCGCAGGCCAGCUCCUUCUGGCGGCUGGCCAAGAUGAACUCGCCGGAGUGGGGCUACGCGCUCGCCGGCUCCGUGGGGUCCAUGGUGUGCGGCUCCUUCAGCGCCAUCUUCGCCUACAUCCUCAGCGCGGUGCUCAGCAUCUACUACACGCCGGACCCGAGGCACAUGGACCGGGAGAUCACCAAGUACUGCUACCUCCUCAUCGGCAUGUCCUCCGCCGCGCUGCUCUUCAACACCGUGCAGCACCUGUUCUGGGACACGGUGGGCGAGAACCUCACCAAGCGCGUGCGCGAGAAGAUGCUCACGGCGGUGCUCCGCAACGAGAUGGCCUGGUUCGACAUGGAGGCCAAUGCGAGUGCGCACAUCGCUGCCAGGCUCGCGCUGGACGCCCAGAACGUGCGCUCCGCCAUCGGGGACCGCAUCUCCAUCAUCGUGCAGAACUCGGCGCUUAUGCUCGUCGCAUGCACGGCCGGGUUCGUCCUGCAGUGGCGCCUCGCGCUCGUGCUCCUCGCCGUCUUCCCACUCGUCGUCGGCGCCACCGUCCUGCAGAAGAUGUUCAUGAAGGGUUUCUCGGGUGACCUGGAAGGCGCGCACGCCAAGGCGACGCAGAUUGCGGGGGAGGCUGUGGCCAACGUGCGCACCGUGGCGGCGUUCAACUCGGAGGACAAGAUCACGAGGCUCUUCGAGGCCAACCUGCAGAGGCCGCUCCGGCGCUGCUUCUGGAAGGGCCAGAUCGCCGGCAUCGGCUACGGUGUGGCGCAGUUCCUGCUGUACGCGUCCUACGCGCUGGGCCUGUGGUACGCUGCGUGGCUGGUGAAGCACGGCAUCUCCGACUUCUCCAAGACCAUCCGCGUCUUCAUGGUGCUCAUGGUCUCCGCCAACGGUGCCGCUGAGACGCUGACGCUGGCGCCGGACUUCAUCAAGGGCGGGCGGGCCAUGCAGUCGGUGUUCGAGACCAUCGACCGCAAGACGGAGAUCGAGCCCGACGACGUGGACGCCGCAGCCGUCCCCGAGCGGCCCAGGGGCGACGUGGAGUUGAAGCACGUCGACUUCUCGUACCCGUCGCGGCCGGACAUUCAGGUGUUCCGGGACCUGAGCCUCCGCGCGCGCGCAGGCCGGACGCUGGCGCUGGUGGGGCCCAGCGGGUGCGGCAAGAGCUCCGUGCUGGCGCUCAUCCAGCGCUUCUACGAGCCCAGCUCCGGGCGCGUGCUCCUGGACGGCAAGGACAUCCGCAAGUACAACCUCAAGGCGCUGCGGCGAGUGGUGGCCAUGGUGCCGCAGGAGCCGUUUCUUUUCGCCGGCACCAUCCACGACAACAUCGCCUACGGGCGCGAGGGCGCGACCGAGGCGGAGGUGGUGGAGGCGGCAACGCAGGCCAACGCGCACAAGUUCGUGUCGGCGCUGCCGGAAGGGUACAAGACGUGCGUCGGGGAGCGCGGGGUGCAGCUGUCGGGAGGGCAGCGGCAGCGGAUCGCCAUCGCGCGAGCGCUGGUGAAGCAGGCGGCCAUCAUGCUGCUGGACGAGGCGACGAGUGCCCUGGACGCCGAGUCGGAGCGGUGCGUGCAGGAGGCGCUGGACCGGGCCGGGUCAGGGUCAGGGCGAACGACCAUCGUGGUGGCGCACCGGCUGGCCACGGUGCGGAACGCGCACACCAUCGCGGUGAUCGACGACGGCAAGGUGGUGGAGCAAGGGUCGCACUCGCAUCUGCUCAACCAUCACCCCGACGGAUGCUACGCGCGGAUGCUGCAGUUCCAGCGCCUCACGCCCCACACCCUUGCCGUGCCCGGACCCUCUGCAUCCAACGUUUGA